rnacentral:rRNA from 1 species
GAUGAACGCUGGCGGCGUGCCUAAUACAUGCAAGUCGAGCGAACGGACGAGAAGCUUGCUCCUCUGAUGUUAGCGGCGGACGGGCGAGUAACACGUGGAUAACCUACCUAUAAGACUGGGAUAACUUCGGGAAACCGUAGCUAAUAACGGAUAAUAUUUUGAACCGCAUGGUUCAAAAGUGAAAGACGGUCUUGCUGUCACUUAUAGACGGAUCCGUGCUGCAUUAGCUAGUUGGUAAGGUAACGGCUUACCAAGGCAACGAUGCAUAGCCGACCUGAGAGGAUGAUCAGCCACACUGGAACUGAGACACGGUCCAGACUCCUACGGGAGGCAGCAGUGGGGAAUCUUCCGCAAUGGGCGAAAGCCUGACGCAGCAACGCCGCGUGGGUGAUGAAGGUCUUCGGGUCGUAAAACUCUGUUAUUGGGGAAGAACAUAUGUGUAAGUAAAUGUGGACAUCUUGACGGUACCUAAUCAGAAAGCCACGGCUAACUACGUG